rnacentral:rRNA from 1 species
UACGUAUGGUGCAAGCGUUAUCCGGAUUUACUGGGUGUAAAGGGAGCGCAGGCGGUCCUGCAAGUCUGGUGUGAAAGCCCGGGGCUCAACCCCGGGACUGCACUGGAAACUGCAGGACUGGAGUGUCGGAGGGGUAAGCGGAAUUCCUGGUGUAGCGGUGAAAUGCGUAGAUAUCAGGAGGAACACCGGUGGCGAAGGCGGCUUACUGGACGAUGACUGACGCUGAGGCUCGAAAGCGUGGGGAGCAAACAGG